UCACCAAUUUCAACAGUAUCAGAACCUUCAGAUUUAGCUGGGCAAAAGGUAGAAUCUGAUGGUUUAUCUAAGCUAUCGACGAUACCGGACACUAGGGCUGAUGAUGAUUGAGUUUGGAUAUCUCUACCUAAGGUGGAAGGAAGGAGAUGCAUGCAUAAGUGCUUAUGGAUAAUCACAUGUAUGGCACCGCAUAAAUGUAGGUGUGUGGGGACAUGCACAGACUUCAAAGGUAGAGAAGUAGGCCAAGUACAUGAACUAUCACUAUACAUAAUCACAGCAUCAAGAAUCAACAUUACAGCCAGACGAAUACGCACCAUUUUUAAAGAGCCAAGCUGCAGAACUCCAUGCGGAAGUACAGGUACCAGCAAAAUAGUCUGCAUAACCAUUAUAAACAGUUGACCCAUCAAUUUUUAGAGUCAAUACAUGGACAUGUGCACAUCUAUUAAGAGCUGCCAAUGUUUCAAAUACGAUCUGAAAAAUAUGGAAAAAUCAAAUUACCUUGAUACCUGAUGCCAACUGAGGCAGCCAUUCUUCAGGGCACUGUAAAUAGAAAAUUUGCAUUUGAGAA